CCGUCGAUCCUCCUCAGCCUGCCUUCGGAUCAGAAAGAUUUACUCUAGCUCCUGGGUGGCGGCGCUCAAUCUGAUGAAUCGCUGGGGAACCCCCGCUGGCUCAAGGUUUUCUAUCCGUCCACUUACCUCUCCCACUGGCGUGCACGGCGAGUGCGAUGGCAACAGCCAGUGGCCACUGGUGGCUAAAGCUGCCUUGAUGCAUGUGUUAUGGAAGAUGAAAUGUGAGGCAGCGGAGAGCUGGGGAUGCUAACGUUGAUUUGCUCUGCACCAUUCCUCCAACGUGGAGAUCAGCAA